GCCUUUCCUUCGAGACCGAAGACUGCUUUGAGCAGACAUCUUAAGUCCUGGCAGUUUCCCUUUUCAUUUUUUCCUUCUUUCCCUUGCUCUGAGCACGUGUGGGAGUUGGUGGGCUGUUGAUUUCCCGUCGGAUAUACACCAAGGUAAACGUUUGAAAUCUGAGUCCUUCGGUGAUAAGAAUUAUAAUUUCCAGACUUAAAGUGUUGGCUCCAAAUCAGCCAUGGAACUGUCGGGAUUUUCCUCGAAUGACCGUCUAACAUAGGGGCAGUUUUCUAUAUUUGAAGGUAAUGAUGUUGGCAAUGAGUAGAUAGCACUCUUACAGCUUCAUUUGCAUGUAUUUUUACAUAAACCUGGGGGGGGGAUUCUCCAUUUUACACCCAACAUUUACCGAAUGCAUAAAAGACCAAGGCGACCUGAAAUGCAUCUUCCAGCGUACAGUGCGGGUCCUAUUUCACAUCUUGAGCGGGUAGGCCGGAGCAAUGGCCCAUGCCACCCAUCCGUUGGUUGAAUCUGCUGCGCAGACAAGACUACAGGCCCAGAACAUCCUACUCGACAACUGGGGUCUGGCAUUGACAGUGCUUUGCUAGUUCCAGGUCAACCCUCCCCCUCUGCCCCCAUCCUGGAGUCUACAGUCGCUGGGUCAGGCUCUCUGACCCUGCAGAGACAUGUUAAGAGGUAAACAGGUGAAUGCACUGGGCU